rnacentral:rRNA from 1 species
AGUGAACGCUGGCGGCAGGCCUAACACAUGCAAGUCGAACGGCAGCACAGUAAUAGCUUGCUCUUACGGGUGGCGAGUGGCGGACGGGUGAGGAAUACAUCGGAAUCUACUUUUUCGUGGGGGAUAACGUAGGGAAACUUACGCCAAUACCGCAUACGACCUACGGGUGAAAGCAUGGGAUCUUCGGACCUUGCGCGAUUGAAUGAGCCGAUGUCGGAUUAGCUAGUUGGCGGGGUAAAGGCCCACCAAGGCGACGAUCCGUAGCUGGUCUGAGAGGAUGAUCAGCCACACUGGAACUGAGACACGGUCCAGACUCCUACGGGAGGCAGCAGUGGGGAAUAUUGGACAAUGGGCGCAAGCCUGAUCCAGCCAUACCGCGUGGGUGAAGAAGGCCUUCGGGUUGUAAAGCCCUUUUGUUGGGAAAGAAAAGCAGCAGGUUAAUACCCCGCUGUUCUGACGGUACCCAAAGAAUAAGCACCGGCUAACUUCGUG